rnacentral:tRNA from 1 species
AUUUGUUGUAGUCUAGUUGGUUAGGAUAUUUAGUUCGCAUCCAAAAAGACCAGACCUGGGCUCAAGUCCCAGUGAUGGAAA